GCAUUAGACCAUGUCAACGUCUACAAACAGUUCCCAGCUUUUCGGAACCCACCCUUCAGAAUCUGACUGUGUCUGCUGUGAAACGCUCUCGGAAUGACUCGCUGAUCGGUCACCGCUGGAAAGAGCAGUUACGUGUCGGGGUUUCUUUCCUUUUGCAAAUAGAAGCCCAGGAAAGAUCCUGAAAGCAGCUCACAGGAGCGACUGGAAUCAGUCCAUAAUCGGAAGGGAAAUCAGAGAGAUAAUAACUGAAGCCACGGCAAACAAAGCGUCGGGUUCCCAGGCUGCAACCCCAAAGCCCUGAUUGGAAAGGUGAUGCAGCACUGAGUCACAACCCCACUUGGUGGAUCAUCUCUCAGAUCCACAGCUUCAUUUGGAAAACCCCUUUAACUCAAGGCUGGGACUGAUGUUCCCAGACCCUUUGGCUGGCAGGAGUGAGCGGUUCUUGUCUGAGCCCUAUUGGGGUCUGGAGACACAAUGUUUUGCCACAUUUUGCUCAGAUUCAGCUAUCUGGGCUCAUCCCUCUAUGCAAAAACAUCCUUUUAGGAAAUGCCAGCGCUACAACUCAAAACGAAGACAACAGAAAACCCAGCUAACAGGGAAAUUUCAUUGCGUGUUCCGUCAGCACGAGGUGCACACAUUGGUAUCUCAUCCUGCCAUCGGAGCAGCAUGGCCUGAGGCCAGAGAUAUCUCCUGCUACAAAGAUGUGGCACUGGAGAAUGCAAUGAGCCCAAGGAGAGGUGUGCUGGGACACAGCAGCCCCUUCCAAUACCCCCCAACCUUCUUCAAAAGGUGCACUGACUUAAAUCAGGAAUGCUGCUGACAGCUGGGCCAGAGGGCCGGACAGAGGCCUUCACCUGCUGAGCAAUUACACAAAGCAUCCUGAACCCAACACACCCAGCACCCAUUCCUCCCACACUGAGCGUCUCUGUGUUGAAUUCUCACUUGACCUUCCCCUGUAGGAACACAAUAAAAUCCAUCUCAAAAAGCAGUGAGGCACUCUCUGCACCACAUAUGGUUACUUCUGCCAUUCUUCCCCUCAAAGAAACCAGAAAUUUUGCUCAAAGAUGGCAUCAACUUCCUUAGAAACUGUAUUAAUGCUCGAAAAAUAGAUUGCAGUGGAAACAUUUAUGUGGCAGUGGACGAUCACCGAAGCUGAUGGAUUUGCAUACUGCCCUUGCUCUUGGAAUAGAGCACCUUUCUUCCUGCAAGUUAUCUGAGCCUUCAAUGGUUAAUGUUCUUCCAGACAGUGAUCUAAACAGGCUUAACGGUUAGUAUUUUAAUGAGCUGUCAUUUCCUGUGCUGAUAAAGAUUCUCACAGUAUUUAAACCAUCCAUUUCCCUGAGGCUCCACCAAUACCCGGACACUGCUGCGGUGACUCAGAGCGGACCUCAGACUCUGGGCCUGACUCAGCCCUGAUAGAUUGCACUGCAGCAGAUCUGGACAGGCUCCCAAGGUGCUCCAAGGGAGCGUUCACACACAGCAAAACCUGGGCUUGAAAAUCACAGAGGGAGGAACUGCAGCUCCAGCUCCUGGCUGCCACUUUGGCUUCAGAACACUGCAUGAAACUUAGAUGCCGUCUGCAUCCAGUGUUCUGAAAUUGUGGAAAUACAUCUCCUUUAUGAGAGAAACAUUUUAGGGGUUAAAGGGCUGCUUGGCACGUUCACUUAGUUUUACAAAAUGAAGAACGAAAACGUCUCACUUGCAGAUUACUAAGCUGAAAUGGUUACACGUUUGACAUCAUUUCUACCUGGCGCUACGCUCCGGUACCCGCGCUGACCAAGGCCGUCUGCAAAGCACUUCUUGGGACGUUCUGUUAUGUUAAAAUGAAUGCUUUCAAAAAUAGGAAUUGCAACAUCAUUGAACGGCUCGUUCCUAACUCUGCUCAAUGUUGCUCUUUGUAAGGCAGCUCCUGGUUGUACUUUAAAGAUAUAGCACUAUUUCUGUACGCACUUUAUAAAAAACCUUGCUUGUUCAGAGCUAAAUCCUGCAAGCCUUCUGCAAAUAAACUUUUUACAGUUCUGCUGUGA